CCCGACUCUGCCCCGCCCUCGCCGCCAGACGCCGCCGGUGCAUCCUCAAGCUGCUAAGUUUCGGUUUGCUGCAAUGGCAGAGGAGGAGAAAAUGACAGAGGAGUUUGAUGUUGGUUGUGUCACAAAUGAGCAUGCAAGGGUUCCAACUCCCACAUAUCAAGGUGGCCCGGCUCAAGUCGAUUCGGAAGGUGAUUCUGGCUCUGAAUGUGAGCACGUCCAAGUUACACAUCUCCCGAAUCGUGUAAAGAGCAGGAAGAAGAGGGCAUGUCCUUAUUCGCGUAUGGUGGCAAGUGAGAUUGCUAAAAACAUUUUUGAGGCAAGGGAAAAGAGUGACAAAUCAAUGUGCAAAAGAGAUUGUGGAUCCAACAAGACAGGAGAUUCACGACAUGAUGGCCAUGGUGAUUGCAGACGGAGCCAAACCUGGGAGUGAUGAGCAUUUCUAUGCUUCACAUCUUUUGUUGGAAAAGAAGAAUCGUGAUGUUUUUACCUCGUUUAAGGGUCACAAACCUAGUGAGAGGCUUGCACGGAUAAGGAGGAUGUGGGAGCUCAACAGCACAACAUAGCCCAUGAACUCCAGUGGCGAGGAUGAGCAACAACAGUGGCGCCGCAGUGAUGUAGUCGUGGAGAGGCAGCAACUCAUCCAGGAGCUUCGCCGGUGGCAGCAGGAAGCCGCCGACACAGCCUUGCGGCGGCCAGAGGUGGAAACGGCCUUCUGAUCCCCUUAGCUCCCCUUUUUUAGGAUCGGUAGUUGAGGUCAUGGUAAAACUUACUUGUACGUGAUGGAUCACACAUACAGGAGAGGAAGUACCUCUCUUUUAUACGUGGGGCUAGGGAACAGGGACCGAAACCAAUAGGUUGUUUGCACCCCGGAUCACAGUGCGUGCGUGAGAGUGGUA